CAUCACCUAAAUCUAUUGACGCUGCUUCUUCUUCUCCAUCGACCCCGCUCUCUUCUCUUCUCCUUUGAGCUUUCUCUACAGACGCAUCUGGAGCUCUCUCCAUCUCCAACCUCUCUCAAGCUCGCUCUCCAUCUCUCUCAAACUCUCGACCCUCUCUCCAUCUCGCACGAUCUCGAGCUCUCCAUCUCCAACCUCUCUCAAGCUCGCUCUCCAUCUCCAACGCAUCUCAAGCUCGCUCGAGCUCUUCAUCUCCAACGCAUCUCAAGCUCGCUCUCCACCUCUCGACCCUCUCUCCAUCAAGCUUCGUCUCGUCUCUCACACCAUCUCCAGAGCUCUCUCUCGAUCUCAAACCCAGAACUUGAAUGAGAUUAUAGCCUCACGAACUUGCUUUGUCUCAGGCUCUCCACCUCUCGACCCUCUCUCCAUCAAGCUUCGUGCAUCUCCUUCAAGGACUCUGCUUGUCGCUGCUUCGGUUAUAUGGUGGUGUCUAAGAAGAAGUACAUCUUCACUAUUGACGACGAUUGCUUCAAUUGCAAUUGUAUAGUUUAGCUUCGUUGGUCACUGAUUUAAUCGGUCAUGAUCUUCUAUGUCUAGGCUCUCUCAGGCUUCUCCAUAGCAUCUCCGGCUCUGUCUGUGUGUCUCAAGCUCUCCUAAGCUUUGUCUGUCUCACUCUCUCGCUCACAAGUACUUGCGGCAAAGAAGUGUGUUCUGUGCUUUGUCUCAAGGUCUCCAAAGCUUUGUCGCUCACUCUAUUAACCGUCACCACUGCAUACGACCACAAUUGUGGAGAAGUGCACUCUCAAGCUUGUUGAUGAUUAUAAGCAUAUGCUUUGUCCAGCUCAGAUUCUCCAGCUCUCUCCUUCUCUGACGCCUCUCCAGCUCUCUCUCUCAAGCUCACACUCUCCAAGUUCACGGUGGAGAAGUGCACUCUCAAGCUUGUUGAUGAUUAAAUCAUGUUUUAGUUAAAUGAUUUGAUUUUUUUUUAAGACUUGCUGUAAUAUUUUUUUUAUCAACCAACCUAAUUUUAUGUUUCUUUUAUCUGUAAAACAUAUUUGCCUUAUUUAUUUGAAGUGAUAAUUUCAAAAAUUAAA